rnacentral:rRNA from 1 species
UACGAAGGGGGGCUAGCGUUGCUCGGAAUUACUGGGCGUAAAGGGCGCGUAGGCGGAUAUCUAAGUUGGGGGUGAAAUCCCGGGGCUCAACCUCGGAAUUGCCUUCAAAACUGGAUAUCUUGAGUUCGGGAGAGGUGAGUGGAACUCCGAGUGUAGAGGUGAAAUUCGUAGAUAUUCGGAAGAACACCGGUGGCGAAGGCGGCCAACUGGACCAUUACUGACGCUGAGGCGCGAAAGCGUGGGGAGCAAACAGG